GUCUGGGUCACCAUGGUCACUGUGCACACUCCGAGAGCACAGCCAAGGCCUGGCUCACUGACCAUAGCCAAGAAUGCUGAACAAGACCAGGUGUCCUCAGCAAAUGGCUGGCGGAGGCUCAGAGAACCUUGGGUUCCGGAUCUCAAGAAUCAGGGAUUGGAUCGUGGAGACGAUUCGGUGCCUGCUCCAGAGUUUACUCCAUAUUGUAUGAAAAAGCAUGAAAUAGCACUUUAUUUGGAGAGCAAAUGCUGAGACACAACGGCCCUGCACUUUGUUUGAGCAGAUUAACAGUCAUCGUCUUUCUCAUACAAACCAUGACACAAACUGACAGCUAGCUAGUCACACGAGUCAAACUGCACCACCUACAAACUUAGAAAAAGUAAGUCAGGAACAUACAGAUACAUUGGCAGAUGAAAACCAUACCAGAAAGACCAGGUCUAUGAAGCUAUCGGACACACCAGACCAACAAAGGAUAUAUCCUUUCACCGAGACCACUUAAUAGGAGAGAUACCUCACGUAUAAACCCACAGGACAUCGCUGGCACCCAUCAACCUGCCAUCAGACCAUUUGGUGUGUGCAGCCCAGUAUCACAGGCAACAGACUCUCAACUGUAUCCCAGGCUUUCAACUCAGCAACAUCUUCCCCGCUUAAAGUGGUCCACUUGAAUUCACUUAGAUGAAUCCUGAACAGCUCUGCAUUUCCUGGUACCCUGUAGGGACAUUUUCUCGAGAUUCUAUCAGACCUUGACUCCAUCUUUAUCACAGUUGCUUUGAACACCCUACCCUCUCUAACUGCUUCGCUGUUAUUCUGUAACUUAUAUCUUACUGUGUAGUGCAAUGUGGGAUCUGAGACUUAAUGUUAGUAAUUAAGAUGACAAUAGAAAAAAAAAUCUGUGAUUGUCAGUGGCCAGACUAUCAAGUGAAAUGAGGAUUUUUCUGGUGAGUUACAGGCAACAAAAAUGACUUAGCGGGGCUGGUGAGAUGGCUCAGUGGGUAAGAGCACCCGACUGUUCUUCCGAAGGUUCAGAGUUCAAAUCCCAGCAACCACAUGGUGGCUCACAACCAUCUGUAACAAGAUCUGAUGCCCUCUUCUGGUGUGUCUGAAGAAAACUACAGUGUACUUACAUAUAAUAAAUAAAUAAAUUAAAAAAAAAAAAAA